GUCAGGUGCAGUGGCGCCUGCCUGUAGUCCCAGCUACUUGGAGGCUGAGGCUGGAGGAUCGCUUGAGUCCAGGAGUUCUGGGCUGUAGUGCACUAUGCCGAUCGGGUGUCUGCACUAAGUUCGUCAUCAAUAUGGUGACCUUCCGGGAGCAGGGGACCACCAGGUUGCCUAAGGAGGGGUGAACCAGCCCAGGUCGGAAACGGAGCAGGUCAAAACUCCCGUGCUGAUCAGUAGUGGGAUCGCGCCUGUGAAUAGCCACUGCACUCCAGCCUGGGCAACAUAGCGAGACCCCGUCUCU
rnacentral:SRP_RNA from 1 species